UACGUAGGAUGCAAGCGUUGUCCGGAUUUACUGGGCGUAAAGCGCGCGCAGGCGGCACUACAAGUAAGGUGUGAAAUCUCCCUGCUCAACGGGGAGGGUGCACUUUAGACUGUAGAGCUAGAGGUCGGUAGAGGGGGGUGGAAUUGCUGGUGUAGCGGUGAAAUGCGUAGAGAUCAGCAGGAACACCCGUGGCGAAGGCGGCCCCCUGGGCCGUACCUGACGCUGAGGCGCGAAGGCUAGGGGAGCGAACGGG
rnacentral:rRNA from 2 species